rnacentral:rRNA from 1 species
UAGCGGCAGGCUUAACACAUGCAAGUCGAGGGUAGAGGAAGCUUGCUUCCUUGAGACCGGCGCACGGGUGCGUAACGCGUAUACAAUCUACCUUUACAGAGGGAUAGCCCAGAGAAAUUGGAUUAAUACCUCAUAGUAUUUUCGGAUCGCAUGAUUUGAUUAUUAAAGUCACAACGGCAAAAAGAUGAGCAUGCGUCCCAUUAGCUAGUUGGUAAGGUAACGGCUUACCAAGGCUACGAUGGGUAGGGGUCCUGAGAGGGAGAUCCCCCCACACUGGUACUGAGACACGGACCAGACUCCUACGGGAGGCAGCAGUGAGGAAUAUUGGACAAUGGGCGCAAGCCUGAUCCAGCCAUGCCGCGUGCAGGAUGACGGUCCUAUGGAUUGUAAACUGCUUUUGUACAGGAAGAAACACUACUUCGUGAAGUAGCUUGACGGUACUGUAAGAAUAAGGAUCGGCUAACUCCGUG